CAUUUAUUAAAUGUCAUAUAAAAAAAGUAUGUGGGGAUUCAAUUCCUAGUGAUUCUGAACAAGGAUCCGUAAAAAUUUCUUUGUCUACAAAAGAGCAAAAUAAACCAUUUUCUCAAAAAUUUUCCAAAAAUAAAAUAUAUUCAUAUCGAAUGAGACUGCAUUGGAGGACCUUCUGAAGGUGUUGAGGACAAAGAAAAGCUCUGCUGCUUAACUUGGCUCAACUGUGGCCAGCAAGGCUAGAGAUGCAAGACGUCAGUGAAGCAGAGGAAAAAUUCGUCCUGGCAGCCCUGGUGAGGAGAUGGCUCUUGUAGAACAUUUGAAAGGCAUGUCUCCAACGGCUGGAGCAAAGCGGGAACUUAAGUCCUUGUUGGUUUCUCUUUUAAUGCUUGGCAAGAAACUGCACGGAAGUUGCAACAUAUCGGGGAGAACUUUCAACUAUCUCACACGGCUGCAGUCAGACUAGCUGAAGAAACACUAUCUAAUGAUAGCAUAAAUGAGCAUGCACAUAGUUUGGAGCGUUAUAUACAAAAAGAAAAAACUGAACUGCAGGGUUCAGAUGCUUUUUCAUGGCUCUGUAGAGUGCUCCUUAAUCCUUGACAGGUUAGCUCAUUCUUGCCGAUAACCACCCUUGUUUCAAACUUCUCCAUUGUUGAACUGUAUCUUAUAGUAUUUGAUUUCCCAUGGAUUACUUUUCACAUCAACAUUAUAUUGGCAAAGAGUGUAUACCAGUAACUUACUGAAAAUUGUUGCAUGUUUAAUCUUUUCAAUAUCUGAUAGCACCUGUGGUUUGCACAUGGCUUACUGUAAGAUUCAUAGCAUCAUGGGCGUUAGAUCAAUGUUAAAGCAUUGUUAACCGAGUUUGGGGUCUCACAUCUCCUCUCUCUGGAUUCUCUCUCUUGCGAACGAGCAGACGCUUGUCCACGGACAAGCAUCAUACAAAACAAUUUUGCUUCUGAAUCCAUGUCAUGGGUUACAGUUUGUGCUUAACCUCCUCAAAUUGAAUGUCCUUGAAGCUUAUUGUUUGAUUUUCGAUAUUUUAAGUCUACAGGCAUAGAAGGUUGCAUAACACGUUAGCUGCUGAAUCAUCAAUGUAUAUUUUCAGAUAAGAGGUUGUGAUUAAGGAGAUAGGAGGCAUUAUUAUUCUGUAGAAGUAGCUUUGGAAAUCUCCAAUCCUCAUUUCUUUAAUAGGAAUAAUUUCAUUGAUAUUGUAGCAGCUGUUUCAUUAUGUUUUUGUUAAGUUCCAAGCAAAAAGGGUAGUACAAAAGCAUAAAAUAAUACUUAUAAGGGCCCAACCGGGUUCGAACCGGUGAC